GUAAUUUGCAAAAUAGGAUGGUGUGACAAAUACUCACUUCACCUAAAAAAACAAAAUAAAAAGUUUGUAGUUGCCAACCAAAGGAGAUGGCAAAUCAGUUUCACGGAUAGAGAUGGCCCUCUACAGAAUUUUAUAAUCAGAAGUUUACUAUAUAACAAAAACCCAUUUCAUUCCGCAAAGCUUAUCAAUCGCUCGCUUUCUCUUUCUGGUAAGGGCUUCCGAACUCGCUCUUAUCACUCAGUCUUCUUCUCAGGUACUCUCUUCGCGCCCGAGUUGACUCUGACUCGUCCCUGCUUCGAUCUACUAUGCUCUGCACUUCGUAAUCUCACUGUUUUACAUGUUCUUACGCUUCGAAUAUCAAUAUGUGAUGUUGAUGCUGAUUUGAUUCCGUGGAGUGAAAACGAAACCUCUGUUAUCAAUGUAGUGCCGUUCAUUUGUUUUCAUGUGAUUUUCGUAUACUGUUUAUGA